GACGAACGCUGGCGGCGUGCUUAACACAUGCAAGUCGAGCGGUAAGGCCCUUUCGGGGGUACACGAGCGGCGAACGGGUGAGUAACACGUGGGUGACCUGCCUUUAGCUCUGGGAUAAGCCUGGGAAACUGGGUCUAAUACCGGAUAUGACCCUAUGGCGCAUGUUGUGGGGUGGAAAGCCUUGUGCGGCUAGGGAUGGGCCCGCGGCCUAUCAGCUUGUUGGUGGGGUGAUGGCCUACCAAGGCGACGACGGGUAGCCGGCCUGAGAGGGCGACCGGCCACACUGGGACUGAGACACGGCCCAGACUCCUACGGGAGGCAGCAGUGGGGAAUCUUGCGCAAUGGGCGAAAGCCUGACGCAGCGACGCCGCGUGAGGGAUGACGGCCUCGGUUGUAA
rnacentral:rRNA from 1 species